GGUUGGUCUGAGUGCAGUGGUGCUUACAAGUAAUUGAUCACAACCAGUUACAGAGCUCUUUUCCACCCCCACUGCUUCACUUGACCAGCCUUAA
rnacentral:Y_RNA from 1 species